UACGUAGGGUGCAAGCGUUAAUCGGAAUUACUGGGCGUAAAGCGUGCGCAGGCGGUUUUGUAAGUCUGUCGUGAAAUCCCCGGGCUGAACCUGGGAAUUGCGAUGGAGACUGCAAGGCUAGAAUCUGGCAGAGGGGGGUAGAAUUCCACGUGUAGCAGUGAAAUGCGUAGAGAUGUGGAGGAACACCGAUGGCGAAGGCAGCCCCCUGGGUCAAGAUUGACGCUCAUGCACGAAAGCGUGGGGAGCAAACAGG
rnacentral:rRNA from 1 species